rnacentral:rRNA from 1 species
GGCGGCGUGCUUAACACAUGCAAGUCGAGCGAAUUUCAGCAGCGUAUCGCUGGAGUUAGCGGCAGACGGGUGAGUAAUAUUUAAACAAUCUUCCCUCGAGUGGGAAACAACCUGGCGAAAGUCGGGCUAAUGUCCCAUAAGACCACACUUCGGCAUCGGAGAGAGGUCAAAGGUCCGCAAGGGCCGCUGGAGGAGGAGUUUAAAUCCUAUCAUGGUAGUUGGUGAGGUAACGGCUCACCAAGCCUACGACGGGUAGCCGGCCUGAAAGGGUGAUCGGCCACACUGGCACUGAGACACGGGCCAGACUCCUACGGGAGGCAGCAGUGGGGAAUUUUGGACAAUGGGGGCAACCCUGAUCCAGCGACGCCGCGUGAAGGAUGAAGGUCUUCGGAUCGUAAACUUCUUUUAGAGGGGAUGAAUGAGUUGGUGAAUAGCCAACUGUGACAGUACUCUUUGAAUAAGCCACGGCUAACUACGUGCCAGCAGCCGCGGUAAUACGUAGGUGGCAAGCGUUACUCGGAAUCACUAGGCGUAAAGCGCAGGUAGGCGGUUGGAUAAGUUUCUUGUGAAAGCUCCCGGCUUAACUGGGAGAGGCCAAGGAAUACUAUUUGACUAGAGUGUGGUAGGGGUAACUGGAAUUCCCGGUGUAGCGGUGAAAUGCGUAGAUAUCGGGAGGAAUACCUAUGGCGAAGGCAGGUUACUGGGCUAUCACUGACGCUGAGCUGCGAAAGCUAGGGGAGCAAACA